UGGAGCGAAUUCUAAACAAUAGAUAUGUAAUUUACAUAGUUUCCAUCACCAAGACAUUCCAAUUUCCGAACACGCUACAUGCAACAUGGUUU